UACUCUUUGCCAAUCGCUCUAAUUC
rnacentral:misc_RNA from 1 species